AUGCCAAUGAUGCAAAUCUACAACUGUAUAUCUAAAAAAUCAGUGAUAAUUACCAUAGGCGGGUUAUAUUUAGUGUUUCUUCUCGGAAAAUUCAUUAACGAUAAAAACAAAACACAAGCUGAAAGAAGUAGAAUAAGAAAACCAGGUGGCACAGGUGUAGGAGGAGGAGGACGUGAUCCAGGUAUCCAAGAAAUUGUAUUUAGUCAUGGUUAUAUAGAGUAUUGA